rnacentral:rRNA from 1 species
UCAGGACGAACGCUGGCGGCGUGCUUCAUACAUGCAAGUCGAACGAGAAUCUCUAGCUUGCUAGAGAGGAAAGUGGCGGACGGGUGAGUAAUAUGUAGAGAAUCUGCCCUUGAGUGGGGGACAACAGAGGGAAACUUCUGCUAAUACCCCAUAUGAGCUUAGUUGAAAUACUAAUCUUGAAAACUCCGGUGCUCAAGGAUGAGUCUGCAUCUGAUUAGCUAGUUGGCGGUGUAAUGGACCACCAAGGCGACGAUCAGUAGCUGGUUUGAGAGGAUGAUCAGCCACAAUGGGACUGAGACACGGCCCAUACUCCUACGGGAGGCAGCAGUAGGGAAUUUUGCGCAAUGGGCGAAAGCCCUGACGCAGCAACGCCGCGUGAACGAGAAGCCCUUCGGGGUGUAAAGUUCUGUCAGUAGGGACGAAUUUUGACGGUACCUACAGAGGAAGCACCGGCUAACUCCGUGCCAGCCGCCGC